UUCCAGAGCAGCGAAAAGCAGCAGUGAUAAAUCAGGGUGACGAGCCACCUCCAAGAAGCACAUGUGAGACCUUAGAGUGAAGGAUGAGCCUCUUCUCACCUCCGGAGGCUCUAGCUGCACAACCAUAAACCAGCAUAAAACUAAAGCAAAGCAGGUAUGGAGUGGUGUAUGCUAUGGGGUGGGAGAACAAGCUCCUGUACUUGCCUUAUAAACCCUCCAGGUGAGAGAUUCAGAAGCUGGUCCGACCCCAUGCUCACAGCAAUAGGACGAGAACAUCCCCUCUGCAGGACCCUUAAUCCACCAGAAUGCAGUGUAAGGUGUGGGGCAGAGAACAAAAGCUACCAACAGCAUAUGAAGGUACCCUUUGGAGCCUAAAACACACCUAGAAGCAUCCAGCACAGCUUCUGACUGAGCUGUGGCAUUCAGCAGGGAGGCAGCCGCAGGGACCAGGCAGCGCUACCAUCCGAGGCCAUUGCUGGAGCUGAAACUAAACCUUGGUGACGUCCAUGGAGAAAAGCUCUGCGCCGGUCCCUUCUCCUGGCACCAGGCACAAGACCUUUGCUGCAGUGGCAGAGGGCCAGGCCACCAUGUGCCCGCUCAGCACAGAUGCAAGUGCGGCCUCCUGGCUCAAGAAAGCCACUCAGUUUAAGGAACUGAGAGGACCAUGUCCUACUGCACACCCAGCAUGCUCAUGGAGCAACCUGAUCGACCUGAGA